AUUGAUCAGUCCCAAAUAGGACGAAACUCGAGUCCUCGAU
rnacentral:hammerhead_ribozyme from 1 species